rnacentral:rRNA from 1 species
AGAGUUUGAUCCUGGCUCAGAACGUACGCUGGCGGCACGCCUAACACAUGCAAGUCGAACGAAGUAGCAAUACUUAGUGGCAGACGGGUGAGUAACAUGUGGGUAUCUGCCCUUUGGCCUGGAAUAACACGAGGAAACUUGUGCUAAUACCGGAUAAGUCUUUACGGAGAAAGCUUUAUGCACCAUUGGAUGAGCCCGCACUUGAUUAGUUUGUUGGUGGGGUAAUGGCCUACCAAGACUGUGAUCAAUAGCUGAUUUGAGAGGAUGAUCAGCCACAUUGGGACUGAGACACGGCCCAAACUCCUACGGGAGGCAGCAGUGGGGAAUCUUGCACAAUGGAGGAAACUCUGAUGCAGCGAUGCCGCGUGAGUGAAGAAGGCCCUUGGGUUGUAAAGCUCUUUCGUCGGGGAAGAAAAUGACUGUACCCGAAUAAGAAGGUCCGGCUAACUUCGUGCCAGCAGCCGCGGUAAUACGAAGGGACCUAGCGUAGUUCGGAAUUACUGGGCUUAAAGAGUUCGUAGGUGGUUGAAAAAGUUAGUGGUGAAAUCCCAGAGCUUAACUCUGGAACUGCCAUUAAAACUUUUCAGCUAGAGUAUGAUAGAGGAAAGCAGAAUUUCUAGUGUAGAGGUGAAAUUCGUAGAUAUUAGAAAGAAUACCAAUUGCGAAGGCAGCUUUCUGGAUCAUUACUGACACUGAGGAACGAAAGCAUGGGUAGCGAAGAGGAUUAGAUACCCUCGUAGUCCAUGCCGUAAACGAUGUGUGUUAGACGUUGGAAAUUUAUUUUCAGUGUCGCAGCGAAAGCGAUAAACACACCGCCUGGGGAGUACGACCGCAAGGUUAAAACUCAAAUGAAUUGACGGGGACCCGCACAAGUAGUGGAGCAUGUGGUUUAAUUCGAAGAUACGCGCAGAACCUUACCAACACUUGACAUGUUCGUCGCGACUCUAAGAGAUUAGAGUUUUCGGUUCGGCCGGACGAAACACAGGUGCUGCAUGGCUGUCGUCAGCUCGUGUCGUGAGAUGUUGGGUUAAGUCCCGCAACGAGCGCAACCCUCACUUUUAGUUGCCAUCAUUAAGUUGGGCACUCUGAAAGAACUGCCAGUGAUAAGCUGGAGGAAGGUGGGGAUGACGUCAAGUCCUCAUGGCCCUUACGUGUUGGGCUACACACGUGCUACAAUGGUAUCUACAACAGGAAGCAAGACUGCGAGGUCAAGCAAAUCCUUAAAAGAUACCUCAGUUCGGAUUGCACUCUGCAACUCGAGUGCAUGAAGCUGGAAUUACUAGUAAUCGUGGAUCAGCGUGCCACGGUGAAUGCGUUCCCGGGUCUUGUACACACCGCCCGUCACACCAUGGGAGUUGGUUCUACCUUAAGGCAAGGUUUCAAACCCUUGACCACGGUAUAGUCAGCGACUGGGGUGAAGUCGUAACAAGGUAGCCGUA